UCAGCUCUGAGCUGUAUUCGAUGUGAUUCCUCUGAGUGUUCCCAAUGGGAUUGAGCACAGUGGUUCAGAGUGCACUGCUGGGUUAGGGUCUCCCCGACUGAGCUGGUCUUGGCAAGUGGCAUCCAUUCAUAGGGGCUCGAAUCCAGGUCAAAGGGUCGCUGGAGCACCGGUUGGAACGGAAAACUAGCUGGAGGACACCCGAGUACUCUUAAAGCAAUCCCCAUGAUGGAUCUAGUAAUGGUAAAACUUCUUAUUCUGGCUCGAAAAGUAAAGUUUUCCAGACGUCCUACAUUCAGCUCAAAAAGCGGAGCUUGUAGCUGUAAUUGAGGUAUUGACUGCUUUUGAUAUGCCUAUUAAUGUGAUUUCUGAUUCUUCAUACGUGGUUAAUUACACAGUUAAUUGUGUAAUUCACACAGUUAAUUGAAAAUGCUCAGUUACAAUUUCAUACAAACAAUUGAUGACUUUAUUUACCCAAUUGCCAACAGCAGUUAGGAGUAGAAUGCGUCCUUUUUACAUUACUCACAUUAGAGCUCAUACACCUCUUCCAGGACCUUUGACUGAAGGGAAUCAAAUGGCUGAUCACCUAGUUGCUAAUGCAAUAUCUAAUGCUAGACACUUUCACAAUUUAACCCAUGUUAUUGCCUCUGCUCUCAAACGCAGAUACAGCAUUACAGCAUUACCUGGAAAGAAGCUAAAGCUAUUAUCCAGAGAUGCACAACUUGACAAAUUGUACAUUCCUCAUCUUUUACAGGAGGAGUUAAUCCUCAAGGACUGGAACCUAACUCUAUUUGGCAAAUGGAUGUCACGUAUGUUCCCUCGUUUAGGAGACUAGCUUAUGUACAUGUAUGUGUGGACACCUUUUCUCACUUUGUCUGGGCUACAUGCCAAACAGGAGAGUCUUCUGCCUGU